GGAGAGAGGAUCCAAAUCUACAAAUAAUCCCAACUUGUAACUCAAGCAUAGAGAGAGAUAACUAGUACAACCCACAUCCUAAUACACCACAAUUCUGAUUUUUUUUUUUUUUGGAACAAAUAAUAAUUUCACUAGCCCUUCCAACAUUCUUCGCCGCAAAAAAAUAAUGCCUGCGCAAUCUGCAACAGAGACGCGACUGCAGACAUUAACCAUAAUCAGCCGUUCAAUAUAGCGCGCAUAACUGCCCCGUAAAUUAUAUGAUACAAGAGAGGCUUGGUCUCAUUUCAGACAUGCUAUUGAAGACUUGUGUCCUUGAAUCUUGGCUUCUAUUACCAAUCAUUCCCCACUUAUAAGCGGACAGACUCACAGAGCAAACAACUACCACUCUCAACUCAGGUUACCAUGAUUACCAUUGUGAUUCGAUUGCACCCCAUUUUCUUCACUAGUGGAAGAUUUAAGUGCCAAGGCUGGUACCGCAGUAAAUCCAUUCUCUUUGAUUGAUCCGUCUGUAGGAGCAGAAGUGAUGGUUCUUUCCGAUGGAUUCACAGAAGACUCUUCUGGAACCACCGACUCAGUUUGUGUCUGCUGUUGCUGUAAUAAUUCCAUACGCCUCAGAGAUGGCACAUCGCCAUCACAGUACCUGCGCCACAUACUCCUAUAUAUUGACUCGAUGUUUCGGGUGAACUUGGCCCCGUCACAAAGUGGUGAUUUUGACAUCAGUUCUCGCAGACUCAUUCUCAAGUUCGAUAGAGAUGUAACAUCUGAAGCCAGCUGUAUAGCUGACUCAACGUACUCAUCUUCAUUCCUCGCCACAAGGUUUUCUAACCCGACUGUUUUAAGAAGACUCACACCAACAUUGUGCGCGUGUACGGAACCUCCCAUAGUGACACAAGGAACUCCCAUGUAUAGUGAUUCACAUGUAGUGGUUGUUCCAGCAUAAGGAAAAGUAUCCAAGCUAAUGUCCAUGAGGGAAUAUGCUUGCAUAUGAUCAUGAUUUAGAAGGAUCAAGGGCAAAAGAUCAACUCUCUGUGGCUCCAAUCCCAACUGCUCUAGAAUAGAAAGAAAUCUCUGCCUCACACUAUCGCAACAGAAAGGCUUGCACUUAACAAUUAACCGAGAAUGUGGAACUGCAGAUAGAAUUCUCGCCCAAACUUUUAGAACUUUCGGUGUUAUCUUGGCAAGAUUGUUGAAGCUACCAAAUGUAACGAAGCCAUUAGAUAAAGCAGGUGCAGGACACACUGGCCCAGCUUCAGGAGAGGGUGUAUAACAAAGAAAGCUAUUUGGCAAUCGGACUAACUCUUCCACGUGUUUCUGUUUUGCAUUAGGUGGGUCAGCCAUAGCAUCAGUGAUUCUAUAAUCAAUAGUGGGCAAACCAGUUGUGUUAGGGUAUCCAAUCCAAGUCACCUGUACAGGCGCAGGUCGGCAAGCCAUGGUUCCCAGUUUAUUAUUUGCUGUGUGGCCUGUAAGUUCAACCAUGAUAUCAACUUUAUCUUCUCUGAUCAUGCUGGAUACCUUUUUCUCAUCAAUCCCGUAGAUAUCCCUCCAGAGACCACCCUUUUUCAUGACUUUGUCCCUAAACCUGUUUGUUUUUGCAUCUGCCUUUACAACAGAUGAGUAAACCACCACCUUGUAGUUUGUGUAAUCGUGAUGGGCAAGUGGUGCUUCGAUGAAGUAUGAAACAGAGUGAGUAAAAUAAUCAGGUGAGACAUAUCCGAUCACAAGAGGCCUUUCCGGAACUUUUGAGUUGUCCCAUGAAGUGUACUGUGGAUAUAAUUUCAUAAAACGCCGACCCCAGUCUCUGUGAGCCUCAUAUAACUUGUCAUCAGUUCCUUCAUUAAUGUAGUUCAUGGCAAGUAACCGGUUCUGGCCGGCAUUUCGGGAAUCAGGAUCUAUCUUGAGGCAUUGCUCAUAUGCUUCAAUGGCCAGGGAUAUAUUGCCUGCAUCCCUGUAAAGAACUCCUAAAUUAUUAUAUGCCUCAGCAUAUGUUGGAUUUGCAAUGAUAGCUUUCUCAAUCAUGCUAGCAGCAGCAUCCAUUUUACCCUGAACAGUGUAAACUACUCCGAGAUUGUUUAAUGACUGAGAGAAGUUUGGUUUGAUUGAUAAUGCCAUCUGAUAACACUCCACAGCUUUAUCAAGGUUGUCUCGGUCUUUGUAU
rnacentral:misc_RNA from 1 species